CGAUUCAAGAUGAAUACUCACAAAAUCGAAAUGCAAAAUUGAUUCAUAUUCUUGUUCUUCACUCGUUUCCAGUUAUUGUAUUCUCGAUUGAUCUUUGAUAGCGAAUGAGAUUCAUCAUUUUUNUUUGAUAGCGAAUGAGAUUUCAUCAUUUUUUUUUCGAUGAGUUUACCUUUUACUUUUGAAUCGACUUUAAUUGAUUUCAUCAUCAUCGGUCGAUUAUGAUCAAGUUGUAGGUUAGAAAAGUAUCGAUUUGUAUAUAUCGAGGGAUAAAUUCAUCAAGUCAA
rnacentral:lncRNA from 1 species